GGAUGGAGAGGAGGCCGAUGGGGAGAUCGGAGCCUGUGCCUGCUGUUGGCAAUGGGUUGAAUAGCAGCCGCCGCCACCACCAGGAGGAAAAAUAAAAUUUCUAGCGUUUUCAGGAUGGGUUUGUGGUUUUAUACCGGUGAGAGAUGUUUGUGGGCUAGUUUUGAUGUUGGGCUGGGCCAAAAAUUCAAAUGGGACUGAACUUUUUUGACCGGUUUGGUUUUGUCUUGGGUCGUCUUGAACUGGACAAAUU
rnacentral:lncRNA from 1 species